CAACUCUCAACAACGGAUAUCUUGGCUCCCGUAUCGAUGAAGAACGCAGCGAAAUGCGAUACGUAGUGUGAAUUGCAGAAUUCCGUGAACCAUCGAAUCUUUGAACGCAAAUUGCGCCCGAGGCUUCGGCUGAGGGCAUGUCUGCCUCAACGUCGGCUU
rnacentral:rRNA from 1 species